GCCUAACAUAAACUUUGACCAUCCGCCAGAGUACGAGCAACAGCUUAAAACUCAAAGGACUUGGCGGUGCUCUACACCCACCUAGAGGAGCCUGUUCUAUAAUCGAUAAUCCCCGAUAAACCUCACCAUCUGUUGCCAAUACAGCCUAUAUACCACCGUCCAGCCCGCCCUUUAAAGGAUAAACAGCAGGCACAAAUACAAACAUAAAAACGUCAGGUCAAGGUGUAGCACAUAAGAUGGGAAGAAAUGGGCUACAUUUUCUAACCUAGAAAACACGAAAGAGUUUAUGAAAUAAAACUCCAAAGGAGGAUUUAGCAGUAAAAAGAAAAAAGAGCGUUCUUUUUAAGCCGGCAAUGGAGCGCGC
rnacentral:rRNA from 1 species